AUGAGCACGGCCAGAACAGAGAACCUUGUUAUAAUGGGUCUGUCCAGUCAAAAUGGUCAGCGGAGGGGCCCUGUGAAACCCAUUAGUGGCCCUGGAGGAGGGGGCACCCAGACACAGCAACAGAUGAACCAGCUAAAAAACACUAGCACAAUCAAUAAUGGCACCCAGUAGCAAGCACAGUGUAUGACCACCACUAUUAGGCCUGGUGACGACUGGAAAAAGACUAUAAAACUCCCUCCAAAGGAUCUAAGAAUCAAAACUUCGGAAGUGCCCUCCACACUCCAAACAAGAAAAUGAGUUUGAAGAUUAUUGUUUGAAACGGGAGUUACUGAAGGGAAUUUUUGAAAUGGGCUGGGAAAAGCCACCUCCUGUUCAGGAGGAGAGCAUUCCCAUUGCUUUAUCUGGUAGGCAUAUCUUAGCUAGAGCAAAACAUGGAACAGGCAAGAGCAGAACCUACCUCAUUCCCUUACUUGAACGGCGAGAUCUGAAGAAGCACAAUAUACAAGCAGUGGUGCUUGUUCCGACUAGAGAACUUGCUCUACAGGUCAGUCAAAUUUGCGUCCAGGUCAGGAAACACAUGGGAGGGGCCAAAGUGAUGGCAACCACAGGAGGAACCAAUUUACGAGAUGACAUAAUUAGGCUUGAUGAUACAAUGCACGUAGUGAUUGCUACCCCUAGGAGAAUCCUGGAUGUUACUAAGAAAAGACAAAGGUUGAUCAUGUCCAGAUGAUAGUAUUGCAUGAGCAGGCAGAUAAGUUGCUGUCACAGGAUUUUGUGCAGAUAAUGGAGGAUAUUAUUAUCGUGCUACCUAAAAACAGGAAGAUUUUACUACAUUCUGCUACUUUCCCUUUUAGUGUACAGAAGUUCAUGAAUUCCCACUUGCAGAAACCCUAUGAGAUUAACCUGAUGGAGGAACUAACUCUAAAGGGAGUAACCCAGUACUAUGCAUGUAUAACUGAGCUUCAAAAAGUACACUGCCUCAACGCACUUUUCUCCAGGCUUCAGAUAAACCAGUCGAUCAUUUUCUGUAACUCCUCUCAGCAAGUUGAAUUGCUAGCCAAGACUUCUCAACUAGGUUAUUCUUGCUUCUAUAUUCAUGCUAAAAUGAGGCAGGAACAUCAAAAUCGUGUAUUUCAUGAUUUCCGAAAUGGCUUAUGAUGCGAUCUUGUUUACACUGAUCUGUUUACCCGAGGUACUGAUAUACAAGGUGUGAAUGUGUUAAUAAACUUUGAUUUCCCAAAGCUCGCAGAGACCUAUCUCCAUCGUAUUGGAAGAUCAGGUCGCUUUGGUCAUCCUGGCUUAGCCAUCAACUUGAUCACAUAUGAUGAUCACUUCAACCUGAAAAGUAUUGAGGAGCAGCUGGGAACAGAAAUUAAACCUAUUCCAAGCAAUAUUGACAAGAGCCUGUGUGGGGCAGAAUACCACAGCGAGCCUGUAGAAGAUGAGAAGCCUUAA
rnacentral:lncRNA from 1 species